rnacentral:rRNA from 1 species
UACGUAGGGGGCUAGCGUUGUCCGGAAUCAUUGGGCGUAAAGCGCGUGUAGGCGGCCCGGUAAGUCCGCUGUGAAAGUCGGGGGCUCAACCCUCGGAUGCCGGUGGAUACUGUCGGGCUCGAGUGCGGAAGAGGCGAGUGGAAUUCCUGGUGUAGCGGUGAAAAUGCGCAGAUAUCAAGAGGAACACCAAAUUGCGAAGGGC